rnacentral:lncRNA from 1 species
CCACACUUGGCCGCCCCUCCCUCCUUUCCCCUUGGGCUGGACGUCCUCUCCUCCCAUGGCAGCCCCUCUCCACGGCUUCCUCCUCCCUCUAGAUCUCCCCCGCGCAGCAAGGAUCGAGAAGAGGAGGAGCACGUUGAAUUGAAGGGGAAGAGAGGAUCAAGGAGAUGUUCUUCCCCGUCUCUUCUUGCAGAAUUUCUUGGGGAAACCCUAGGUAUGGAUGAGAUCCUUGUUCCUCCCUGUAAUUAUGUGCUUUUGGAGGUUGUGGAUCAUGGGAAUUAAAGAAUAAGAGGUUGGAUUAGAUGUGGGGUUAGGUUUUGAUCUCGAAUUUAGUUUUCUGCAGAAUGGCAGAUUCGAUAGUUUCUGUUCAUGCCAGUUUUCCAUGGUCUUAGUGGCAUCAAAAAAAUAAAAAGUCUAUAUAUGAGUCAUAGAUAGUUUGUAGAUAUUUCCGUGGCCGCGAAGAACACCUCAAUCGGACAUCAGAUCAGAGAGUUAUUGCAGUUUGAUUAUAGCAGUUUUUCAGUCUCUUAAUUCUGUGCAGAAUUUGUUCUCUUAAGAUUUAGGCAAUUUUAUUAACAGAAUUAAACCUUGGGUUUGUAAGAAAAGAUGUAGAUAAUUUCAUAAGAUUUUCAGAUUGUUAAAGAGUGCAUUCAUAUGAAUUAUGAAACUCCGGUUAUGUUUGUUUUACUGUGGCUGUUUCUGUUGGCCUGACAGAAAUGAGCGUGUCUAUUCACUGGUAGGUUUCAUCAGGAAAAUAGCCGAAUUGGCUCUCCCAGCUAUGGAGACUUUUGUAGAGGGAUAAAAGUUCUUACUUCCAGAAGAAUUCCAUGAUUUUUGGUUGAGUAGUUUGUGAGAUAUCGAAUUUUGAAAGUUAACUAUGCUGCUGUCUAAAACAGAUUCAGUCAGUUAUCUUGUCAGAUGUUUUAGAACUUAUAGAUGGCAGAAUUUAAUUAUCCAUCGAAUGCCGAAGUUGUAGAGUAUUUUGUGUAGAUACUCUUAGAGUAUUUGUUUGAUAUCACCACUGUUAUAAUUUUAAAGAUACAAAAUUAACAAACAGUGUUGCUGCUGUAUGGCAUGUUGUUCAGAGUGGGAGGUUUUCCACCAAGUCUUGGUUUCAGGUGUAGGAGCGAUUUGUUGAUUGUUGGCAAAUGUUUGUGAAAUAUUUGUACUAAGUUUUAUACCCGCUACCAGGUGGCUACACUCCAGAUCAUGCAUAGUACAUUUUUCUUCUUCGAUGAAGGCAAGUGAAUGUAGGGGUGGUUGCUUCCAUUCUGACCUGUUAUUUCUAUCGCCUACACUCUAGUAUUCAGAAUUAUUGGAUUCUUUCAUAAUUCGACUCCAUGGUAAUGCUUUACUUGCUUGCAUUAUCCUGAUGCUCAAUCAUAUAUUGAUGAUGAUUAUGAUUCGAGUACGACUCAUGAGAUUAAUUCACACCCCUGAAGGUAAAUGAAGUAUUAUUUGAGGUUUGUAUUGUAUCUGAAGGUAAAUGAAGUAUUAUUUGAGGUUUGUAUUGCAUGUGACAGAAGUUAAGUAUAUUGAUAAAUGCAGCAUGCCACAUACAUUGCAUGAUUCACUUGCAUCUGAAGUUGGGUCGUGACCUAUGGUCCGACCGUACCGGUACAACUUAGCAUCGUAGGUUGCCCGAGGAGGGGUACGAUGCGGCUUCAUACCCUUAGAGGUAUGAAGGCAGAGGACAUAUGCAUUGCAUUCAUAUGCAUUCAUUGAAGUGAUAUUUGCAGAUGAUGUGGUUUUAUACCCUCAGAGGUAUGAAGACAGAGUACCUACACUUUGCGUUCCUAUGCAUACAUUGAAGUGAUAUUUGCAGGUAUUGUUGACGCAGGGAAGUGUUAUACAAACUAUUGUGGUUGUUUAAGGAAAUGAGAUGGUAUUGGUUAUAUUGAGACUACUGAGUUCUAUAUCUACAAGUAUUUCUGAUCUUAAUUGUGAUUCUUUUAAAAUGUUGAUUAAUUCAAUUUGUGGUUUAAAUAUCUUGUCAAAACAAUUCGCUUGCUGAGAUGUUUCAUCUCACUCUUGCAUUACUCAAUGCAGGUGCUUGUUGCUCAUCAAGGGAAGUGGGAAGUAGCAGCACAUCCACCUUCACUCUGAUAAUAACGCUGCUUAGGCGCAGUCAUGAUUUAAUUAGAAACUUCUUGUCAAAGGAUGUUGUUUCUAACUAGUUGUGCGCACUGGUUGAUUUAGUUCAUGCCGUUAUGGUUGUCUUUCCAUUGCUAGCAGAUUAUUAAUGUCUAUUAUGUUUUCUUAUCAUGAUAUCUAUUUAUACUUUGUUGCUUCCCCGUUUGUGCAAUUUUCAAAGGGGAUGCUGUCAAAAAUUUAUAUAUGAAUGUUAG